CCCCGUUGUUUUGUCUGACGGUCAAAACGUUUACAACAUCCAGGAUUCCACCGUCACCUUCCAGGAAACAAAAUGUGAAACACCAAACUACCCUUUACAGAACAUCAUAGAUGCGACAGAAAUGCUGAUGAAACGUGAGGAUCCUGACAAACAUGUAUCAACCUAUGCAGAAAGGACAGCCUGGAAGCAUCUGAAAAACACUGGAUGUGUGUUCAUCAAAGGAAGAAGUGGUACAGGGAAAUCUAGGGUUGC